rnacentral:sRNA from 1 species
AGAAAAGUGACCGCCGCCCCGCGCAGGGGCGACGCUAGCAGACCGUCAAGAAAGCCAGUUCAACGACAGGGCGUGGAUCACCGAAAGAAAACCCACGCCCCGCGAGCACGCU